rnacentral:rRNA from 1 species
UACGAAGGGGGCUAGCGUUGCUCGGAAUGACUGGGCGUAAAGGGCGCGUAGGCGGAUUGUACAGUCAGACGUGAAAUUCCUGGGCUCAACCUGGGGGCUGCGUUUGAUACGUAUAGUCUUGAGUGAGGAAGAGGGUUGUGGAAUUCCCAGUGUAGAGGUGAAAUUCGUAGAUAUUGGGAAGAACACCGGUGGCGAAGGCGGCAACCUGGUCCUUUACUGACGCUGAGGCGCGAAAGCGUGGGGAGCAAACAGG